rnacentral:rRNA from 1 species
GAUGAACGCUGACAGAAUGCUUAACACAUGCAAGUCAACUUGAAUUUGGGUUUUUUAACUUAGAUUUGGGUGGCGGACGGGUGAGUAACGCGUAAAGAACUUGCCUCACAGCUAGGGACAACAUUUGGAAACGAAUGCUAAUACCUGAUAUUAUGAUUAUAAGGCAUCUUAGAAUUAUGAAAGCUAUAUGCGCUGUGAGAGAGCUUUGCGUCCCAUUAGCUAGUUGGAGAGGUAACGGCUCACCAAGGCGAUGAUGGGUAGCCGGCCUGAGAGGGUGAACGGCCACAAGGGGACUGAGACACGGCCAUUACUCAUACGGGAGGCAGCAGUGGGGAAUAUUGGACAAUGGACCAAGAGUCUGAUCCAGCAAUUCUGUGUGCACGAUGACGUUUUUCGGAAUGUAAAGUGCUUUCAGUUGGGAAGAAAAAAAUGACGGUACCAACAGAAGAAGUGACGGCUAAAUACGUG